CCUUCCAAACUACCAGGUGAAACGCUCACAACACAUUUGCGUUGGAGCAAACUGCCUUCCAGUCUACCAGGUGAAACGCUCACAACACAGUUGCAUUGGAGCAAACUACCUUCCAAGCUACCAGGUGAAACGCUCCCAACACAGUUGCAUUGGAGCCAACUACCUUCCAGGCUACCAGGUGAAACGCUCCCAACACAGUUGCGUUGGAGCAAACUAAAUUCCAAGCUACCAGGUGAAACGCUCCCAACACAGUUGCGUUGGAGCAAACUACCUUCCAAGCUACCAGGUGAAACGCUCCCAACACAGUUGCGUUGGAGCAAACUAGCUUCCAAGCUACCAG
ensembl:lncRNA